CUCUUAUUGAGAGCAGGUGGAGGGAAUUAGCCCUAUGAAGCCCGGCAACCAUUCAUGUUGAACAGCCAACAUGAAAACGGUGCUAAAUCUAACAGUGGUCACACUGAGAGAUGAGAG
rnacentral:ncRNA from 1 species